CCAUAUCGGAAUGUCGAAGGUUCCCGACGGGCAAAGGCCUUGAAGGGAUCAAAAGGGAACACGGUGCGGCGUACCCAUCAGGGACCAAAACCGUGGCUGCCCCCGCAACUGUAAGCGGAGAGCUCUUUCGGAACACCACUGGCCCAAAAGGCUGGGAAGGUCGGAAGCGCGAUGACCCGCGAGCCAGGAGACCUGCCAUCGACAUCAACGAAAC
rnacentral:ncRNA from 1 species